ensembl:lncRNA
GCGGUACCAUAUGAUCGUUUAUCGCUAAAGAGCAAUCUGCGCAGGUCCGCAGUGACAUCGCAGUUUUCCCGACUCAUGCACCCCCCUAAAGGUGUAAACCCGGCGGGAUCCACCGGGGUGUAUAGAUAGAAACAGGCACGUGCACAGACCUGCCACCCGUAAUGGUUCUCAGGGACCUGCCACCUUGCCCUGUCUGAGAAAAGAGACCCUUCUGCUGGAGCCCAAUUCUUUCUUCAUUCAUCAAUAUUUAGAAAUAAAAAUGACUCUCUCGGUCGUCAAUUCCCCCUAAAUGUGUAUCGAUAUCUGACUGGGAUUUUAUUUUGGUUUAUUGUCAGCGUUUCGCGCGCCGCCGCGCCCCUCCGUCCCCCUCUUUCCCCUCCGUCCCCCUCUGUCCGUCAGUUUAGUUUACUUAAUUUAAUUUAAUAAUUUAAUAUUUUUUAUUGUAUUAUAUUGUAUAUAAUGUGUAUCUAUUUAUUCUAUUCUUCCCUGUACAUGCUGCGAUAACAAAAUGUCCCCCUUGAGGGAUCAAUAAAGUAUCUAUGUAUGUAUCUAUCUAUCUAUAUGACAGUCUGGUGAGGUAUCAUGUGGUAUAUUAUUAGUGUAAUGCUGCUUAUGCUUCAACUCUGUCAGAAAACAGUCAAAUAAAAUGUGUGUGUGUUGUUGGCUUUAUAGUGAAGAGUUUCUUUGUGUAGAAAAGGGUGACAUUAUACUCAGUGCUGUAGUGGUAAAAUUAGAGGUGGGUAAACUCAGAAUUUUGUGAUCAUACAGACCUCGACGCGAUGCGAAGCAACGCAACACAAAGCGUUGCGACUCUGUAAGGCUGUCCUGGCUAUAUUGCAUUAUGUUAUCAGUAAAAGUCAUAUACAAUCAAUGACAAUGAAUAAAUGUGUUAGUAGUUUAUUAAAUUUAAGAAAACAGUAAAGAAAAGUAUGUCAACACAACACAACAAGACAAUUGCAGAUUAAGAACUAUCUCCUUUUCACAGUAGUGCCCAGAGGGCCUCCUUGUCCUCCACGUCAGGUCCUGCCUUGCACAGAGGAGCCAUGAACCCCAGAACACGGGUUCAUGGCUCCUCUGUGCUUCUCUCUCUAUUGGACCUGGUGUUUCUCCUCUCCCUGUGCUCUCUGCAUCAUUGCCUGUCCUCUCACUGCC